CCGUUGCCGGCGACCGGCGCACGGGUGAGUAACACGUAUGCAACCUGCCCGUGGCAGGGGGAUAAGCGGGGGAAACCCCGUCUAAUACCGCGUAACGCGGCCUAGGGACAUCCCAAGGCCGCCAAAGGGAGCAAUCCCGGCCACGGAUGGGCAUGCGGCGCAUUAGCUAGUCGGCGGGGUAACGGCCCACCGAGGCGACGAUGCGUAGGGGUUCUGAGAGGAAGGUCCCCCACACUGGUACUGAGACACGGACCAGACUCCUACGGAAGGCAGCAG
rnacentral:rRNA from 1 species